rnacentral:lncRNA from 10 species
AAAGUAAGCACUUUCAGAGCCCGACCCUUCAAGGAGCUGCUGCUGCAGAAGGGUGCUUCUAUGAUGCUCCUUCACCCAACUGUACCCCAUAGUAAGAUGCCCAGGCUCGGGUGGGCAGAAGGAGGAAGGAGGGACCUGGGAACCACGAGUCACCCAUUUCAGUGGAGGUUGAAUACGCAGAAUCAGGAAGCACAGAAAUCCACACCCAUAUCAUAAUGAAAUUGCAGCACACCAAAGGCAAAGAGAAGAUCUUUAAUGCAGCCAAGGAAAAAGCACAGAUUACAGAGAGCAGACGCUGAGACUGAGAGUAGACUUCGUAGUGGCCACAGUGGGAGCCGGAAGCCAUGGGAUACAGUGAGUGUGACUUGGGACUCUUCACCAUCAAAUUAGAAUCAGGAGUUGAAAUUGAUGGUUGUUCAAGAAUCUGCUCACGGUAAAGGGCAUUUCCAGAUGGGAAACAGAAUUUAUCACAACACGAAACUCAGGAGAGUGAGACUCAAGGAACUCACUGAAGAACGUACUUCCAGCAGAAGGAGAGUGGUCCUGGAGAAAGGGUGUGAUUCUGAGAUAGGCAGAUGAACAGAGCAGUCAGUGAAGACGUGAGCAACGGAAAGCAACGUGGACUCUAAAGCUCUGUUAACUGGGUGACCCUGGUUAUCUGGGUUGCGGGGAGAAAAAUUAGAGCCCUCACCAACACCACACAGCAAAUAAGCUCUGAAUGUUUUAAAGCCUAGAAGAUGCUAUGGGAGAGCAUCUUCAUGGGCUCU